AGCAGUGUAGCAUAGUGGUAAGGAGCACGGCUUGUAACUGAAAGGUUGCCAGUUCGAUUCUCCACUGGGUCACUGUUG